UCUCAAGUUGUUUUUUGAUGUUUACAAAAUCUGUGCAUUGAGCGGGUCGUGUUUUCAGCCUCACCCCUUCCACUCGGUGCAACAGUCUGUUGCCAGUGGCGUUCCACACGUACAGGGAGGAGGGACAGGGUCUUGCUCUGUCGCCCACACUAGACUGCAUCCUCGACCACCUGGGCUCAAGUGAUCUACCCACAUCGGCCUCUCAAAGUGCUGGGAUUACAGGAGUGAACAAGUGUGCCUAGCCACGAAUGCCACCUUAAUCAAGAAAUCUGGUAAUACUACUUCAACCACAGUAAUAUCUUCAGUAAUGAAACAAAUUGACAUCAUUUACCUCCUGAUAUGAUACAAAGGCACAUCAUCUAUGUAGUAUUAUUUCCAGAAAUGGUUAACUGAGUCAUUAGACUCAGAAGAACAACCAGAGAAAUCUACAAGCAGUUGGCCUGGACCCUUCAAACACGUCAAUGCCAUGAGGUGAUUGUCCUGAAUUAAAGGAAGCUAACAAUACAUGACAACCAACGUUUGA